rnacentral:SRP_RNA from 1 species
GCCAGGCGCGGUGGCACGUGCCUGUAGUCCCAGCUAUUCGGGAGGCUGAGGCUGGAGGGUCGCUUGAGUCCAGGAGUUCUGGGCUGUAGUGCGCUAUGCGGAUCGGGUGUCUGCACUAACUUUGGCAUCAAUAUGGUGACCUCCCAGGAGCGGGGGACCACCAGGUUGCCUAAGGAGGGAUGAACCGACCCAGGUCGGAAACGGAGCAGGUCAAAACUCCCAUGCUGAUCAGUAGUGGGAUUGCACCUGUGAAUAGCCACUGCACUCCAGGCUGGGCAACAUAGUGAGACACCAUCUCU